AUCAAGAUAGCUCAGUUGGUAGAGUAUAAUCUCAGGGCUGUGGGUUCAAGCCCCACAUUUGGCCUUAGAUA